UACGAAGGGGGCUAGCGUUGCUCGGAAUCACUGGGCGUAAAGGGUGCGUAGGCGGGUUUUUAAGUCAGGGGUGAAAUCCUGGAGCUCAACUCCAGAACUGCCUUUGAUACUGAAGAUCUUGAGUUCGGGAGAGGUGAGUGGAACUGCGAGUGUAGAGGUGAAAUUCGUAGAUAUUCGCAAGAACACCAGUGGCGAAGGCGGCUCACUGGCCCGAUACUGACGCUGAGGCACGAAAGCGUGGGGAGUAAACAGG
rnacentral:rRNA from 1 species